AUUGUUUGACCAAGUUUGUAGAACAAUAUCUCAACAUCUACAACACUAAAUUAGUUUUAUUAGUGAUAUACUUAUUUGAUAUUGUAGAUAUGAGUCAAAGUUUUGCUACAGACUAAGAUUACUCCCUUCGUUCUAAAAUAUAAGGGUUCUAGCUUUGUCCCGAAUCAAACUAGCUUAUUAUUGUUCGACCAAGUUUGUAGAACAAU